GGCGACCGGCCACACUGGGACUGAGACACGGCCCAGACUCCUACGGGAGGCAGCAGUGGGGAAUAUUGCACAAUGGGCGAAAGCCUGAUGCAGCGACGCCGCGUGAGGGAUGACGGCCUUCGGGUUGUAAACCUCUUUCAGCAGGGAAGAAGCGAAAGUGACGGUACCUGCAGAAGAAGCACCGGCUAACUACGUGCCAGCAGCCGCGGUAAUACGUAGGGUGCGAGCGUUGUCCGGAAUUAUUGGGCGUAAAGAGCUUGUAGGCGGUUUGUCGCGUCUGCAGUGAAAAUCCGAGGCUCAACCUCGGACUUGCUGUGGGUACGGGCAGACUAGAGUAUGGUAGGGGAGACCGGAAUUCCUGGUGUAGCGGUGGAAUGCGCAGAUAUCAGGAGGAACACCGAUGGCGAAGGCAGGUCUCUGGGCCAUAACUGACGCUGAGAAGCGAAAGCAUGGGGAGCGAACAGGAUUAGAUACCCUGGUAGUCCAUGCCGUAAACGUUGGGCGCUAGGUGUGGGGCUCAUUCCACGAGCUCCGUGCCGCAGCUAACGCAUUAAGCGCCCCGCCUGGGGAGUACGGCCGCAAGGCUAAAACUCAAAGGAAUUGACGGGGGCCCGCACAAGCGGCGGAGCAUGCGGAUUAAUUCGAUGCAACGCGAAGAACCUUACCAAGGCUUGACAUAUACCGGAAACAUCCAGAGAUGGGUGCCCCGCAAGGUCGGUAUACAGGUGGUGCAUAGUUGUCGUCAGCUCGUGUCGUGAGAUGUUGGGUUAAGUCCCGCAACGAGCGCAACCCUCGUUCUAUGUUGCCAGCGCGUAAUGGCGGGGACUCAUAGGAGACUGCCGGGGUCAACUCGGAGGAAGGUGGGGAUGACGUCAAAUCAUCAUGCCCCUUAUGUCUUGGGCUUCACGCAUGCUACAAUGGCCGGUACAAAGGGCUGCGAUACCGCGAGGUGGAGCGAAUCCCAAAAAACCGGUCUCAGUUCGGAUUGGGGUCUGCAACUCGACCCCAUGAAGUCGGAGUCGCUAGUAAUCGCAGAUCAGCAACGCUGCGGUGAAUACGUUCCCGGGCCUUGUACACACCGCCCGUCAAGUCACGAAAGUCGGUAACACCCGAAGCCGGUGGCCCAACCCUUGUGGAGGGAGCCGUCGAAGGUGGGACUGGCGAUUGGGACUAAGUCGUAACAAGGUAGCCGUACCGGAAGGUGCGGCUG
rnacentral:rRNA from 1 species